rnacentral:rRNA from 1 species
GACGGAGGAUGCAAGCGUUAUCCGGAAUGAUUGGGCGUAAAGGGUCCGCAGGUGGCAGUGUAAGUCUGCUGUCAAAGAAUGAGGCUUAACCUCAUCAAGGCAGUGGAAACUACACAGCUAGAGUACGGUCGGGGUAGAAGGAAUUCCUGGUGUAGCGGUGAAAUGCGUAGAGAUCAGGAAGAACACCGGUGGCGAAAGCGUUCUGCUAGACCUGUACUGACACUGAGGGACGAAAGCUAGGGGAGCGAAUGGG